AUUUUCUAAACUAAAGGUAUAUCUAUUGAUAUAACUCUAUUUUCACUGAAUUUAUCUAAGUUUUAGGUAUAGGAUUUUGAGUCUUUAUGUUGUUUCUCGAGUCUUUUUAGUGUCUUUUCAGGUAUUCUAUACAGUGGGACAAUAAUGGAGAUGAGGAGACAUUUUGGAGCAAAAGCUAAGGAAAAGAAAGCUAAGGACGAUUUUGGACUCAAGAAUCAAGAGGAGUGUCGAUCGACACACUCCUGGUGUCGAUCGACACCAGUUUCGGCCCAGCAAAGUCCAUGACGUUUUCAAGUUUACAGAAGAGGAAAUUUGCCCCAAAAGAAUUCCCUAUUUGCAUUAUUACUCCCUAGACGUUUUAUAGGGUUUAUAUACAUUGUUCUAGACCCUAGUUUUCUCUUAUCAAGCUUUUUGCAAAACCCUAUUGUGAGAGACAUAAGCUAUUCAUCCAUUGUUCUUGAGAGAUUCAUUCCAGUUCUUAAUACAGUGAAGAGAUCCCUUCUUUCUCUUUUUCUAUUUGCUGUGUUUAUGCUUUCAUACUCAAUUAUG
rnacentral:sRNA from 1 species